rnacentral:rRNA from 1 species
CGGACGGGUGAGUAACACGUGGGUAACCUACCUAUAAGACUGGGACAACUUCGGGAAACCGGAGCUAAUACCGGAUAAGAUAUCGAACCGCAUGGUUCGAUAGUGAAAGAUGGUUUUGCUAUCACUUACAGAUGGACUCGCGCCGUAUUAGCUAGUUGGUGAGGUAACGGCUCACCAAGGCAACGAUACGUAGCCGACCUGAGAGGGUGAUCGGCCACACUGGAACUGAGACACGGUCCAGACUCCUACGGGAGGCAGCAGCC